AAAAAGAAACUACAUUUAGCAAUACUACUCAUAACAUUCACUUUCUCAUAAUAGUUGAAUCAUAACAUAUAGAAAUAAGGUGAUUCAUUUCCUUUUUGACAAAAUGCACUUGUUAGCAAGUUCAAGAAAUCCUCAAAAAAAAUCAAAAUUGGAAAAUAAAUUUCCAUUCUCGUAAAUAAACAAGGAGGAGAAUAAAGAAUUUAGAAAUUAG
rnacentral:lncRNA from 1 species